UUGAAUAUGGAAAAACAGUCAGAAAGCCCAUGUAUAUGAAUAGUAAACCCAAGAACGGAGGUGUGUGUAUGUUUUGUUCUGCCAUAUUGAUCUGUAAAAGUCCAUAUCAGUAUGUUUCUAAUAACAGAGGGUGCACACUUCCAAGUGUCACGCAAUAAAAGUCACCUUUAGAAGACAAAUUAAAAACUGUUUUGGGACUGAGUGAAGAAAUGCAAAACAUUUGUCUGAUGCAAUGAUGCUUUUCUUUCUAUUUGCAGAUAAGAACAUUAAAAAAACAGCAACAACAGAAAAGCAGGAAUGAACCUACAUAUUUUUAAACAGGUGACGGGGCGAUAUUUUAUUCUGAUUUCCCAAACUCCUAACUGCUAAGAUCUUUAAGAACGGUUGUAUAGUGCUGAAGAGAGGCUAUGUGUGGGGUAUUAAAAGAAACUUGCAGUUUCGUGUCUUAAAAAAAUAAUGUAACAUGAUCAGAGGGCAUGACACACACACACACACACACACA